rnacentral:rRNA from 1 species
GAUGAACGCUGGCGGCGUGCCUAAUACAUGCAAGUCGAGCGAACAGAUGAGGAGCUUGCUCGUCUGACGUUAGCGGCGGACGGGUGAGUAACACGUGGAUAACCUACCUAUAAGACUGGGAUAACUUCGGGAAAACGGAGCUCAUACCGGAUAAUAUAUUGAACCGAAUGGUUCAAUAGUGAAAGAGGGUUUUGAUGUGACUUAUAGAUGGAUCAACGCCGCUUUAGUUAGUUGGUAAGGUAACGGCUUACCAAGGCAACGAUGCGUAGCCGAACUGAGAGGGUGAUCAGCCACACGAGAACUGAGACACGGUCCAGACUCCUGCGAGAGGCAGCAGUAGGGAAUCUUCGACAAUGGGCGAAAGCCUGACAUAGCAACGCCGCGUGGGUGAUGAAGGUCUUCGGAUCGUAAAGCUCUGUUAUUAGGCAAGAACAAGUUUGUACGUAUCUGUCCACGUCAUGACGGUACCUGAUCAAUAAGCCGCGGCUAACUACGUG